CCAAUAGCGUAUAUUAAAGUUGUUGCAGUUAAAAAGCUCGUAGUUGAAUUUCGGGGUCAGUAGGUUGGUCAUGCCACUGGUAUGUACUGGUCUCACUGAUUCCUCCUUCCUGAUGAGCCGUAAUGCCAUUAAUUUGGUGUUGCGGGGAAUCUGGACUUUUACUUUGAAAAAAUUAGAGUGUUUAAAGCAGGCUAACUCUUGAAUACAUUAGCAUGGAAUAAUGAAAUAGGACGUUCGAUCUUAUUUUGUUGGUUUCUAAGAUUGACGUAAUGAUUAAUAGGGAUAGUUGGGGGCAUUAGUAUUCAAUUGUCAGAGGUGAAAUUCUUGGAUUUAUUGAAGACUAACUACUGCGAAAGCAUUUGCCAAGGAUGUUUUCAUUAAUCAAGAACGAAAGUUAGGGGAUCGAAGACGAUCAGAUACCGUCGUAGUCUUAACCAUAAACUAUGCCGACUAGGGAUCGGAUGAUGUUAAUUUUUUAAUGACUCAUUCGGCGCCUUACG
rnacentral:rRNA from 1 species